GCCAGGCGUGGUGGCACGCGCCUGUAAUCCCAGCUACUUGGGAGGCUGAGGCAGGAGAAUUGCUUGAACCCAGGAGGCGGAAGUUGCAGUGAGCUGAGAUCGCACCACUGUACUCCAGCCUGGGUGAUAGAGCGAGACUCCGUCUCUC
ensembl:misc_RNA Metazoa_SRP Metazoan signal recognition particle RNA